AAUUCUCAACCCCCCUAUUUUGUAAUGAGAUAGGUUUGUGGGCUUGGAUUAUGGCUGUUUGUCGGCUCGUAUUGAGUCGGCUCGGCUGAAAUACACGAGCAACCUGGCUGAAGCGGCGACGGCUUGACUCGGCGUAAUAACAUGUUUCGCUGAGGAACGUCGACUUUUAAAAAUGCUUCAGGAAAGGGGGUUGCUUCUAAUACAACUUUUCAAUUUAAGU
rnacentral:misc_RNA from 1 species